AAAACCCCUUUAUCGAGCUUUCUCUUCACGAAUUGCGAGGCUUUGUUUUUUUUUUAAAAUAAAUUUGACCAGACUCUUUUAAAUUUAACUUUUAACGUCUUUAUUAACUAGUUGGGAUUAGAAGCGAGCGCUGGCUGGAAGUCUCAUGGAUGAAUGGAUUUUUUUGGGUUUCACGAAGAUUUAAUGGAAACCAGGUAGGAGAGGCCUAUCUUGAAAUUACCCUUUUGUUUACUUUGACUAUUUCUCCUUUGGAAUUUUGGUUGUUGGGUUCUUGUGUGUUGUCGAAUUAUCUCUCCCGUUCUCAUUCAUUUCUUCAAGUUCUAUGCUUGAUUGUUUCACCGUGUUAGUCUUUUGUUCUUAUUAUGUGUUUUUGAUCUGCGUGGACUUGUUGAGUUUUGAUGGAGAUCGGGGACUUGUUACAACUUAGGGUUUACUGGACUUUGUCAAGCCUUCUUUUUUUCCCCCGAAAUGCGAUUUUGUUGGCUGGUAGAGGCCAGCUUCAAUGGGAUUGGAUUGUGAUCUGUGUCGGGUGUUUUAUUCCUUACGUUUAUAGUAUGGUGAACGACUGAUCUUGGGUACUUUUUUUUUUUUUUUUUUUGGUGCUUCUCUUUUGUGUUUUUUUUGCUCAAUUUUGGACAUUGACUGGGGAUUUAAAAAGAUUUCUCUUGAGUAGAUUUUCAUGGGUUGAACUUGAGGAAUCAUGGGGAGUUGCAGCGAAGAGGCAGAGGAUCGAUUCUUCGAAUCCCGAGAGGAGCUCGCGUCCUUGUAUGAUUCGGGAUCGGAUCGCCGCGACAGUUUUGACUCCAGUUCCGGGCCCGUGAAUGGGGUCUGUGAUAGUUUCCAAUACGAAGUUUGGGUUAAGAUCCCAGAAAGCAUUCGUGACCGCCGGAAUAAGUUCCUGAAACGGAUGGGUUUAAAUUUAGAUUGCACCCCAGUGGAUGAUUCCGAUGAUGUCUCCCUUAACCGCGUAGUGGGAACAGAUAGAAUCACAGAGAGCAGUGGGGCUGUGCUGGGAAGUUCUGAUUUUGAAGAUGGGUUUCAGUCGAGUCGGUCUUCCAUCUCUUGCUGGUCCAAUGGCGCUACUGAUUUUUCUGAAGAUGGGAUCUCGGCUGAGAAUUUUGUUUGUAAAAUCAAGAACUUAGAUGAUGGAACAGAGUUCAUCGUGGAUGAAUUAGGACAGGAUGGGAUGCUGAGCAGACUUCGUGAAGUCGGUUCAAAUCGACUGGUUACCGUGGAAGAGUUUGAGAAAACUCUCUGGUUAUCCCCUCUGGUGCAGCAAUUUAUGAGGAGAGAAGUUGUAGAGACAAUCAAUUUAGUGGAUAAGGCGAAGAGUGUUAAGAGGGGAUGGUUAAGGAGAUUGGUCUCCAUGUCCCGCCUUGUGAGUAGGCAAGGAGAUGGUGGCGAUUCCCAGCCCGACUAUGCUAAGUCUUCUUUGGCAAGUAGGGUUCAGAGGGUCAAGGUUCGUCCUUAUAGGAAGCGGUCGAAGGAGCUCUCUGCUCUUUAUAUGGGACAAGAAAUAUGUGCUCACGAGGGUUCAAUAUGGACAAUGAAGUUUAGUCUUGAUGGGCAGUGUCUAGCAAGUGCUGGUGAAGAUGGGGUUGUCCGUGUUUGGCAGGUGAUUGAGUCUGAGAGACCAAAUGAAGAUGGCAUUCUGGAUAUUGGUCCCUCAUUUGUAUACUUUACCAUCAAUCACUCUUCCGAGUUGGUUCCCCUUUUUGUGGAUAAAGAGAAACUGGGUAAAUUCAAGACUCUAAGGAAAACAUCAGACACAGCCUGUGUCAUCUUACCGCCAAAGGACUUUCGUCUGUCUGAAAAACCACUCCAUGAGUUUCAUGGGCACAGUGGUGAAGUCUUGGAUCUGUCAUGGUCAAAGGACAAGUAUCUGCUUUCGUCCUCCGUGGAUAAAACUGUUCGAUUGUGGCAAGUGGGAUUUGAUGGAUGCCUCAAGGUCUUCUUUCACAAUAAUUAUGUGACAUGUGUUCAGUUCAACCCUGUUAACAAUAAUUACUUCAUUAGUGGCUCAAUAGAUGGAAAAGUCCGGAUCUGGGAAAUUCCUGGUUGUCAAGUUGUUGACUGGACGGAUAUAAGAGAAAUAGUCACUGCUGUGUGCUAUCACCCUGAUGGACAGGGAGGGAUUGUUGGAUCCAUGACUGGAAAUUGUCGAUUUUAUGAUGCAUCAGAUAAUCUUUUGCAACUGGAUGAUCAAAUACGUUUACAGGGUAAAAAGAAGUCACCUUGGAAAAGGAUCACUGGCUUUCAGUUCUCCCCAAGUGAUCCUAGCAAAGUAAUGGUCACCUCUGCUGAUUCACAAGUUCGAAUUCUUCAUGGACUUGAUGUGGUCUGCAAAUUCAGGGGUCUUCGAAAUGUGGGGAGCCAAGUAUCUGCAUCUUUCACUGCAGAUGGGAAGCUUAUUAUCUCAGCUAGUGAGGAUUCUAAUGUUUAUGUUUGGAACAAUGAUAGGCAGGAUGGACCCGCAUCCUCCCAGUCAAAAAGUAUUUGGUCUUGUGAGCACUUCUUUUCUGGCAAUGCAUCUGUUGCUGUACCUUGGUGUGGCUUGAGAUCUGGGGAUGCAGUUGGCUCAACUGUUUCUGACACACUUCCAUCUCCUAAAAAAUUUGGGGCUCCACCAGCUACUAAGACAGCAAAUGGGUGGUUGCAUUGCCAGUCGGACAAGAAUCCGUGCAAUGUCCUCCCAAUGCCUUCACCUGAUCAUUUCUCUCUGAGCCAUGGAUUCUUUUCAGAGGCUUUGCCAAAGGGCUCUGCCACAUGGCCUGAGGAGAAGCUUCCUGUGUCACGCUCACUGUCCAUGCCAUCGACAGUGUGUAAAUCUCAAUACAAAUUUCUAAAAACUUCCUGCCAGAGCAAACUCAAUUCUCAUGCAUGGGGUCUGGUGAUCGUAACUGCAGGCUGGGAUGGACGUAUCCGAUCCUUCCUCAAUUAUGGGUUGCCGGUUCGUCUUUGAAACAGUAUAGGCUCAGGGUGGCUUUUGGAGAGAGUUUUGCUGCGGGGCAUUUCAACAUACGUUGUUGCCCCUUUCCUUGCUCUGGAUGCUGCAGAUAUUUCAAUGGUCAGCCCAACACGUGAAAGAAAUGAUACGUUGUGCUGCCUUGUCAAGUUGUGAUAGGGUGUUUGUGGGAGGCUCAUUUCUAAAUUUUAUCAGCAUCCAUUGCCUCAGCAGAUACAAGUUUGGUACUUCACGGGCAUGUGAAAUGUAGAGAAGUUUUGAGAAAUGUAGAGAAGUUGUGACAGGGUGUUUGUGGGAGGCUCAUUUCUAAAUUUUAUCAGCAUCCAUUGCCCCAGCAGAUACAGAUUUGGUACUUCACGGGCAUGUGAAAUGUAGAGAAGUUUUGAGAAACUGGGAUUCUCUGUUUGGGGCCCUUGAAUAGGUUUUAUACCAUGGUCUAAUUAGACCCUGACAGAGUGACAAGUGGUGAGUUAUACAUGGUUGUGUUGUAGGGAGGGCCUGGAGAUGAGAAGAGGCCAGGUUUUGUUCAUCUGGAUUUAGAAAUCCGGUUUAAUUAUACGAUUCUUUUAUUUGUUUGGUGGAGGGGAGGUGGUUGCUGCCUGAAGCCAAGGAAGGUUCAGUGGAGAUAUAUAUGUGCAUAUUGAAUAAUUAGGUAUAUUUAUGGAGCACUUGUUUAUUAAGAAUAGCGAAGAGGGCACCGGUGGUGGAUGGAAUACAUUGAUGGGAGAUAUAAUCAAGAAUGUGCACCUUUCAUGAUAUUGUUGGCUGGUCCGACUGGUUUUGCGAAAUUUGGAUCUAGUUCUUCCAGAUCUUGCGCAUGGUGGUAGCAGGCAUCUGGAGUGGGUGGAGUAGUCUCUUUGGAAAGUGAGUGGGCUUCUGGACUUCUGGUAGUUAAUGUGGGUCACCUUAUCUGGAAUACACAGAUAAUCGAAGUCUGGGAAACCAGUUCCUGUGUCGCUUUCCUGUUUCGUGUGCUGCCCGUUGCUUCUGGUCCAAAUGGUCCAGCAGAGAUGCAGCGUCAGCUGUACCCUCUCUACACGCAAGGCUGACUGUCCUGAAUUGCCCAUGCCAUGCACUGUACAGGGAUGAUAAUGGGCAAGCGGAUUGAGAUCCUUAGGUUCAAUCUCGCUGAUUUAAUUCACAUUGGCAUCUCUUGCUGCUUUCCUGCGACUGGCGGGGCAGUGAAGCAAAGUUGUCACUGGAGCUUGGCCAUCUUCCCAUUUUAAAAUACUACGCAGGUAUGGGUUUGGAAAGAAGAACUAAACUGCGUCUGAUGCUGAUAUUCUUGGUUCCCCAAGUCUUGCAUCUGGCACUAGUCUUCUGCAUAGGGCUUGGACCUUUGAUCAUAAGCAUCAGAGACACCUGGGGUUGCUUAAUCACCUCACUCUCAUACACACCGUAGUGGCUAAUGGGAAAGCUCACCCCUGCCUGCAAGACGAGAAAGCCCUCUUUUGCAUCACAUGAAUUGAAAUGCAAGAGGUUUGAAAGUGAAUGAGUUGCUAGUCGUAUAAUAUUAUUCCUGCCAGACUUGAAUCUGACGAAAACGGUUUGGAAAAUUUUCCACACUUUUGCCAAAGGAAAUCAACCAUGAAAACUACCAAAUUUUCUUCAAAGCAAGCAGCUGGGUAUGAGAAAUCUCUUGAAGGUAUAUUGCAUUGUGGCAUACCAUAUUCCACUAACUUCAUUCUGGUUGUUGGGCAGGCAAUUGCGUAGCUGGGCAGAGAAAAAUUAUUCUGUGGUAGAAUGUUAAAUAAGAUGGGAGUUUCUAUCAAAACUUCUGUUAAGAAGUCCCUCUCACUUGUAUUCGACAUAUCAAACAAUUAAAGAGUAGAUUUUCAAGCUAAAACAUAUUUUUGGUUAGACAA